UACGAAGGGGGCUAGCGUUGCUCGGAAUUACUGGGCGUAAAGCGCACGUAGGCGGCUUUCUAAGUCGGGGGUGAAAUCCUGGAGCUCAACUCCAGAACUGCCUCGAUACUGGAGAGCUUGAGUCCGGGAGAGGUGAGUGGAACUGCGAGUGUAGAGGUGAAAUUCGUAGAUAAUUCGCAAGAACACCAGUGGCGAAGGCAGCCCCCUGGGCUAGCACUGACGCUCAGGCACGGAAAGCGUGGGGAGCAA
rnacentral:rRNA from 1 species